GAUGAAGAACGCAGCGAAAUGCGAUAAGUAGUGUGAAUUGCAGAAUUCAGUGAAUCAUUGAAUCUUUGAACGCACAUUGCGCCCCUUGGUAUCCCGAGGGGCAUGCCUGUUCGAGCGUCAUUUCACCACUCAAGCCUGGCUUGGUGUUGGGCGACGUCCUCUUUGGGGACGCGCCUCGAAACGCUCGGCGGCGUGGCACCGGCUUUAAGCGUAGCAGAAUCUUUCGCUUUGGAAGUCGGGGCCCCGUCUGCCGGAAGACCUGCUCGCAAGGUUGACCUCGGAUCAGGCAGGGAUACCCGCUGAACUUAAGCAUAUCAAUAAGCGGAGGA
rnacentral:misc_RNA from 1 species